UAGAGUUUGAUCCUGGCUCAGAACGUACGCUGGCGGCACGCCUAACACAUGCAAGUCGAACGAAGUAGCAAUACUUAGUGGCAGACGGGUGAGUAACAUGUAGGUAUCUACCCUUUGGCCUGGAAUAACACGAGGAAACUUGUGCUAAUACCGGAUAAGUCUUUACAGAGAAAGCUUUAUGCACCAUUGGAUGAGCCUGCACUUGAUUAGUUUGUUGGUAGGGUAAUGGCCUACCAAGACUGUGAUCAAUAGCUGAUUUGAGAGGAUGAUCAGCCACAUUGGGACUGAGACACGGCCCAAACUCCUACGGGAGGCAGCAGUGGGGAAUCUUGCACAAUGGAGGAAACUCUGAUGCAGCGAUGCCGCGUGAGUGAGGAAGGCCCUUGGGUUGUAAAGCUCUUUCGUCGGGGAAGAAAAUGACUGUACCCGAAUAAGAAGGUCCGGCUAACUUCGUGCCAGCAGCCGCGGUAAUACGAAGGGACCUAGCGUAGUUCGGAAUUACUGGGCUUAAAGAGUUCGUAGGUGGUUGAAAAAGUUGGUGGUGAAAUCCCAGAGCUUAACUCUGGAACUGCCAUCAAAACUUUUCAGCUAGAGUUUGAUAGAGGAAAGCAGAAUUUCUAGUGUAGAGGUGAAAUUCGUAGAUAUUAGAAAGAAUACCAAUUGCGAAGGCAGCUUUCUGGAUCAUUACUGACACUGAGGAACGAAAGCAUGGGUAGCGAAGAGGAUUAGAUACCCUCGUAGUCCAUGCCGUAAACGAUGUGUGUUAGACGUUGGAAAUUUAUUUUCAGUGUCGCAGCGAAAGCGAUAAACACACCGCCUGGGGAGUACGACCGCAAGGUUAAAACUCAAAUGAAUUGACGGGGACCCGCACAAGUAGUGGAGCAUGUGGUUUAAUUCGAAGAUACGCGCAGAACCUUACCAACACUUGACAUGUUCGUCGCGACUUUAAGAGAUUAAAGUUUUCGGUUCGGCCGGACGAAACACAGGUGCUGCAUGGCUGUCGUCAGCUCGUGUCGUGAGAUGUUGGGUUAAGUCCCGCAACGAGCGCAACCCUCACUUUUAGUUGCCAUCAUUAAGUUGGGCACUCUGAAAGAACUGCCAGUGAUAAGCUGGAGGAAGGUGGGGAUGACGUCAAGUCCUCAUGGCCCUUACGUGUUGGGCUACACACGUGCUACAAUGGUAUCUACAACAGGAAGCAAGACGGCGACGUUUAGCAAAUCCUUAAAAGAUACCUCAGUCCGGAUUGCACUCUGCAACUCGAGUGCAUGAAGCUGGAAUUACUAGUAAUCGUGGAUCAGCGUGCCACGGUGAAUGCGUUCCCGGGUCUUGUACACACCGCCCGUCACACCAUGGGAGUUGGUUCUACCUUAAGGCAAGGCUUUAAACCCUUGACCACGGUAUAGUCAGCGACUGGGGUGAAGUCGUAACAAGGUAACCA
rnacentral:rRNA from 1 species